rnacentral:rRNA from 1 species
GAUGAACGCUAGCUGCAGGCUUAACACAUGCAAGUCGCGGGGCAGCAUGGGGGUUGCUUGCAACCCCUGAUGGCGACCGGCGCACGGGUGAGUCACGCGUAUCCAACCUUCCCUUCACCACGGGCUAACCCGGCGAAAGUCUGACUCCUCACGUAUGUUGUCCAUUGACGGCAUCCGAUUUGGACGAACGACUUGUCGGCGACAGGAUGGGGUUGCGUCGGAUUAGCUUGUCGGUGGGGUAACGGCCCACCGUGGCUACGAUCGGUAGGGGUUCUGAGAGGAAGGUCCCCCACACUGGAACUGGGACACGGUCCAGACUCGUACGGGAAGCAGGGGUGAUGAAGAUAGGGCAAUGAGCGUAAGCCUGAACCAGCCAAGUAGCGUGCAGGAUGACGGCCUUAUGGGUUGUAGUCGGCUUUUAUGCGGGGAUAAGGUGGCCCACGGUUGGGCUUUUGCAGGUACCGCAUGAAUAAGAACCGGCUAAUUCCGUG